AAGAAGCUACUUUGUGCGUAUUGUUAAUUAAGUUUUAACCUUUAAGCUGUAAUAGGGAGUUUUAUAUCGAAGCUGGAAUGUCAUGCCUCCAUUGCAGAGGACGACAGGAACGUUUCUGCAAACACCCACGUUGAGGAGUGGUGGUUUAAAACUUUCUUA
rnacentral:other from 1 species